AGCGAACGCUGGCGGCAGGCCUAACACAUGCAAGUCGAACGGAUCCUUCGGGAUUAGUGGCGGACGGGUGAGUAACACGUGGGAACGUGCCCUUUGGUUCGGAACAACUCAGGGAAACUUGAGCUAAUACCGGAUGUGCCCUUCGGGGGAAAGAUUUAUCGCCAUUGGAGCGGCCCGCGUCUGAUUAGCUAGUUGGUGGGGUAAAGGCCCACCAAGACGACGAUCAGUAGCUGGUCUGAGAGGAUGAUCAGCCACAUUGGGACUGAGACACGGCCCAAACUCCUACGGGAGGCAGCAGUGGGGAAUCUUGCGCAAUGGGCGAAAGCCUGACGCAGCCAUGCCGCGUGAAUGAUGAAGGUCUUAGGAUUGUAAAAUUCUUUCACCGGGGACGAUAAUGACGGUACCCGGAGAAGAAGCCCCGGCUAACUUCGUGCCAGCAGCCGCCGUAAAAC
rnacentral:rRNA from 1 species